UGGGGAAUUUUGGACAAUGGGCGAAAGCCUGAUCCAGCAAUGCCGCGUGUGUGAAGAAGGCCUUCGGGUUGUAAAGCACUUUUGUCCGGAAAGAAAUCCUUGGCUCUAAUACAGUCGGGGGAUGACGGUACCGGAAGAAUAAGCACCGGCUAACUACGUGCCAGCAGCCGCGGUAGUACGUAGGGUGCAAGCGUUAAUCGGAAUUACUGGGCGUAAAGCGUGCGCAGGCGGUUUGCUAAGACCGAUGUGAAAUCCCCGGGCUCAACCUGGGAACUGCAUUGGUGACUGGCAGGCUAGAGUAUGGCAGAGGGGGGUAGAAUUCCACGUGUAGCAGUGAAAUGCGUAGAGAUGUGGAGGAAUACCGAUGGCGAAGGCAGCCCCCUGGGCCAAUACUGACGCUCAUGCACGAAAGCGUGGGGAGCAAACAGGAUUAGAUACCCUGGUAGUCCACGCCCUAAACGAUGUCAACUAGUUGUUGGGGAUUCAUUUCCUUAGUAACGUAGCUAACGCGUGAAGUUGACCGCCUGGGGAGUACGGUCGCAAGAUUAAAACUU
rnacentral:rRNA from 1 species